rnacentral:lncRNA from 1 species
AAGAUAAUUCAGGUGCGUUUGUUUUUAUAACUAUUAUUAUAGUCUUUCAUUAUGUCACUAUGUUGGUAUUAUACGUUAUUGCAUUAUUUGGGCAUUAUAUUUGUGGUUAUACCUUGUGCAUAAGCACAUAUAUAUGUAUGUAAGCAUGUAAGCAUGUAAGCAUAUGUUGUGUACAUGUGCACAAAACAACACAACCCAACACAACCCAUACUGUAUACAUUUUUUUAUUAUUUUUAGGCCUUGUACAACCACACGAUCAAUAGCAUAAAACGUAAUUGGGAACUACCCAUCUGUAAACACUUAAUGGUAACAUACGAACAAAAAACAUUUCAAGAACUUCAAGAGAAGCUUUUUUAUAUGCAGAAAUGUUUAUACAAUGAAGAGGGAACUGUUGAGACGAAUAUUUAUGUAAAGAAAAAAAAUGAAGAUGUGGAAAAUAAAAAUAUUAUGAAAAAUGAUUUAUUAAAUGAUAAAACUGGAUCUGAUUACAUAAAUUUAGAAAAAGAAGAAAAAAAAAAUAUACUUAAAAGUGUUGACACAGAAUUAAUAGAAGAAGUAAAAAAAAUAUAUAAUCAACGAAAUUAUGUUAAUGAUAGUAUUACAUAUAUUACUGGAGCAAGGCCAUAUAAUAUAACUAAAAAAAAUGUUAUAAAAUAUGACGUGUUUUUAAAAAAAAAUAAUUUCAUUUUACUGACUGGGGAAAAUAUGAGUGGAAAAACGACGUUAUCUUUUACUAUAUUGUGUAUACUCUUUUUGGCCAAUUUGGGUAUGUACGCACCUUGCAACAAAACAAGUAUUAUAUCAAAAUUUAGGGAAUUUUAUAGUUUGAAAAAUGUAAAUUAUAAAGAACAAAUUGAAAAUAUGUCAUUAUUUAGAGAACAAACUUAUUAUAUAAACUCGAUCAUAGAAGAAAUAAAAGGACAUUAUUUGAUUGAUAAGAAGCUUUACAGUGGCAAUGAAGUUUUUAUUCUUUUCGACGAGCCUUGUAUAGCUACAACACCCUUGGACAAUGCAAUCAUUAUUAGUGCCAUUGCGGAUUACUUAAAAAAAUAUUGUGGUAUAAUAAUCACACACAAUUAUGAUUUACUGAAAAAGAUUUAUCAUAGUAAAAAUAUUGUUUUUAAAAGAAUUAAUGAAAAUAUAAAUUAUAUUAAAGAACAAAAAGAAGAAGGUAGUGCGAUACUUGAGAAUGGAAUAUGUAAAAACAGCGAGGCAUUAGAAACAUGUCGUUAUACCAACAUGGAUAAUGACGUUUUUAGUUUAUUAAAAGUGUAUGAAAAAAAAUAUAGAUUUAUUCAUAAUUUAAAUAAUAUAUUAUAUUAUAAAUUUUUAAAUUACAUAAAAAAUAAAAAAAAUGAUAAAAAAAUAAAGUUAAGUUAUUUUUUUGAUAAUUUUAUGAAUCAAAAUGAUUUAAGUAAAAAUGGAAAAAAUGAGAGAGUAAAUAUUUUGGCAGAAUAUGAACAAGAUAUGUUACAAAAUUUGGAAAAUAUGGAUACACAAAAUAUUUUAUUAAAUUAUAAUUUUGAUUUGGGUAAGUUAAUUACUAGUGAAUGUAAUAAAGACACAACUGUAAUCAACAACAAGAAUGAAAAUGGCAGUAGUUACAUCGAAAGUAAUAAAAAUGACGAUUUUACUGAAAUUGAAAAAAACGAAGUAAAUAUAAAUAGUAGCCAUUUAGAUAUAGAAAAAAAUAAUAAGAUAUACGAAAAAGAAUUAAAUAAUAUAAUUAAUAAAAUUGAAAAAGCUUUUUGUAAAAAAAUAUCAAAAAUAGAAAUGAAUGAAGAUACUCCAAUUUUUUUUAAAAAUAAAAGUAUAGUUUAUAUUCUUACAAUUUUCACGAAAAAAGAAAAUAAACCAUAUUUUUAUAUAGGUAUAAGUGAUAACAUUUCUGAAAGACUAAAACGUCAUACAAGAAAUUUAUUAAACAAUAAAAGUCUUUUAAAAAAUCCUAAAAAAAACACUUUAUUAAAUUAUAAAAUUGAUUUAAAUGUAUUUUAUACAUUAUUAUUUCAUGUAGAUAAUAAAAUAAUAGCUGCAAAAUAUGAAAAGGAGUUGACAAACUUAUUAAAAAUGAAUAGAUAUAACAUUAUAUCAAAGUGAAAAACGUUAAAAAAAUAAAAGCAGUCGAAUUGAAAAUAAAUGGUAAAAA